GAGGCAAUAAUAGGUCUGUGAUGCCCUUAGUUAUCCUAGGUCGCACGCGCCAUACAAUGUGGCGCACAACGAGUUUCCUAGGCCGAUAGGAUUGUCUCUUAGCCUGUGUUUGUGGGACCGAGGCAAUAUCAUUGCACACGGUAGUUUCGAUCAUGUGUCGUUGCUUAUUUGUGAUGCUGGUGGUUUUGUCUCAGCUAAGAGACUCUGGGCAAUCUGAGAGAGCGCUACGUGACUGGGCUAGACUUUUGUAAUUGUUGGUCUUGAACGAGGAAUGCCUAGUAAUCGUAGGUCAUUAUCCUGCGAUGAUUAUGUCCCUGCCCUUUGUACACACCGCCCGUCGCUCCUGCCGUGGCUCGUGCCGGUGAAGAGGGGGAGGCAGCGUCAACGGAGUAACAUCUGAUUGUACGUGGAACCCCUCUGAACCUUCGCGAGUAGAGGAAGGAGAAGUCGUAACAAGGUUUUCGUAGGUGAACCUGCGAAAGGAUCAUUAU
rnacentral:rRNA from 1 species